AAGUUGUUAUCAUUUUUGCAUACAGUAAGUAGCAGUGCUAGUUUUGUGUUGGCACUGAAUUCUGUUGCUCUGAAUUUGUGUAUGAUGGCACAUGCAGCAGUCGGUGAAGGCACAUCAAGGCACAAUGAACAAUGAGGGGAAAUCUGAGGCAGUCAAAGCCUACAUUUCUCAUGAGACUUAUCAGGACAAGUAUGAGUGUGUGCUGAAGGCCAAUGGCAAUCUGGAAAAGCAGGUUCUAUCCUUGGAGGAGAAGUACGCGAACGCAACACGAGCGAAUGGCAAGCUGGAGGAGGAGGUUCUGUUCCUCAAG